UGGCUUUCCUUUUCCGGGGGAGCAGUACGACAAAUGAUAGAAAGAUAAAUAGGUUGAGAUGCGGAUUUCACAAUUUCCUUCAGGGCCCAUCCAGCGAUGAUCAUUCCAGGACAAAUUGUUGUUUAUGAAGAUGGAAAUAUGAAUCCAUUAGUGAAGGCGAUGCUGUCUCUGGAGCGGAUCCUAUUGCGGUGCAGUCACCGUCACCGACUUCCUUUUCGCCACAGGAAACUAGGUUUCGCCCGGACAGAAAUAGGGACUGUACUGGAAAUAGUGCAUGUAAAUGUUUUCCUCCACUGAACUGACUUGUUGGACUAGAAGUACUCCAAAUGUUCCUACAUCACAAUCAUGAAUUAUACCCAUAGUCUACGCAUCCCAUUGCAGAACGCAGCGCACACUCGGCUGCCAAUCGGUUUAUCGCACACACACGAGCGUCGUAUGCAGUGUCUCGAUGCAGCCAUCCUCCGAUUGGUGCAUCCACUUCUUCGUCCUUCAAGUGAAAUGUGCAAUCAAGUGUUCUUUUGCAAGUCGCUGCAUCAAAAUACUUAAUGGCUCAUCUGCUGAAAUUUAUCUGUGUGAUCCAAACGAUUUUAUUCCCUCCAUCCAGGCACAAUUACAGCAUCUGUAAAUCAGACCGUAUGAGUUAUCGCAAAUCACUUCAUCAUCGAAGUCGGAAGCGAAUCUUUUAGUGAUUCUGAGCUGGAAGGAGCGCUUUUCUGUGUGUCGUAGGAACACACUUCCGCCCUUUUUCACUGCCUGGGUUGUCCCCCGCGGUGCAAUCACCGUCACUAGCACGCGGCACAACGGGAACCACUCACGGAUUGGCUUUGGGAGUCAAAAUCAGAGUCAAACCGAUAGACGCGGCGGGAAGAGAAUAGGACAAAUCAGCGCUCGUAUAAUAUGUAAUAUGAACUUGAUGACUGCGAUGAAUAAAAGGACAGUACUGAUUUAUGAGCACGAUGAAGGGGAAGAAACAGGAAACGAGAAGAUGACCAGGAAAUGUCGCUAGUCAAUCUCUGCGCAGUGGAAACACAACCACGGCCACGCACUAUGCCAUGAAUAUUAAUACAACAUCUAAUCAACGUAGAUGGUGGUGAUGGUUAAGCGUUUGUGACGAUUUGAUUGCAUUCGGGACAACAACUGAUUUCUUUUG